AACUGCCUUUCCUCCCGAUGACACCUUCACUUUGUCUUUCCUCUUCGCUUCCUUCUCUCCAAACUCAAGUUCAAUUUCUCUCUUUUAUUCAUCCACUUUCGCUCUUAGCCCAGCCAACACCACACAAACAGACACGUAUACACGCCCUUCAAUGUCGUGGCUUCUGACGACAACAACCAACAAAACCUUUGUUCCUCUUCAGUUAAUCAAUCGAUUCUCUAUGUUAUUGGUUUUUUAAAUUGGAUAGAUUUGGGUAUUCUGGAUGAAAACCCUAAAUCUCUGAGUCUUCAGAUUUGUAGAAUUGAUGGAUGGACUUACACUGAUUCAAUAGAUGGAUGAGCUCACAUAGAUUCGAUUGAUGGGAAUCACUGAUGGCACCACCGAGGCGACAUAGUCACUACGAAUAGUAAGGCCAACUUCAUGUCGAUUAUCUUAUGUAUAUAACUAUCUAAAGAUUUCUAUUCAUGAAUAUGUACAAUUACAUCUCCCUCUCCCCAAUUAGGUAACAAGAUGUUGAAGAAUAAUAAGUGUAUCGAUCUAAUUUUCUCUUGGAUCAUUUAUAGAUUCUCGCUCCGUUUCUAACUAAGAAUGGUGUGGUUUGACUAAAGUUCGAAGCUUUUGUUAUAGAUUCACCUGUAGUACAUGCUCCAAAUCGGUCAUGGCGAUGUCUUUAAAACAAAAUUUUAUGUCAUCCCGUCAUUGUCCUCAUUGCAGAAGCAAAAGGUCCCAACCGCAGCAGUUACAUGUCAUCAACUUCCACAUCUUCGAUUGGUUGUUCUUCUGAUUAAUACAUCUAUUUAAUCAGGUAUAUUUAUAUUGGGCUUUUCAUGGACCAGGAGGGUAUUUAUAAUUAACUACAUCAUCGAAGCGUGUACUCUUGUAAAGACUGGAAACUUUAAAUUUCCAUAAAAUGUGACAGUAAUGAGUUUAUGGAAUCACUUUCUGAUGAAGUUGGUCGUGAAAGUUUGUUAUAGUAGAAAAUGGAGAAAAAACUAAUUGAAUUUGAAGGAAAAAAAUGGUAAUUAAGGCAUAUAUGUCUCUUUUUAUAUUUUUUUUCUCUAAUUGUGUGUGUGUUUAACUGUGUAAGUAUGUAUAUGUUUACAGGUCCUAAAAUGGGUGUUUAAUUAUGUGUGUUUAUAGAUCGUGAAAUGUUGUGUUUAGUAAAGUUUUGAUUUUUAUCGAUUUCAUUAGACAUGUGUAACCCCCUUUGUUCCACUCAUUUAUUUGGUCACCUAUAUAUUAUCACAUUUCUUUAUUUGAAGGCAUUUGUAGCCUUUUUUUUAGGUGCUUCUUAAAAUGGAGAAUCAUGGAGGCAAGUGAUGAUUAGAGUCUACAAAACACCAAAUUAUUGAGAUUAAACACUUUUAGAAAAUUUAUUAUUUAUGUUAUUAGAAUCCUAGUUACUUUAUUAUAUUUCUUUUUUUGACUCUUUGAUUUGGUUUGAGACAAGCAAGUGGAAGGGUGAGAUGGGAUAGGGGUGAUGGGGCCAAUUGAAUAUUAAUAAAACAAUUGCAGCAACCAACUUUUGGGGUUAAAAAUGGUCGUGUCAAUGUAAGUUUUAAUUUUGUAAUGUUCGGUUUAAUAAUACGAUAGAGACGUUGUUUCUUUA